GGGUAGCGGAGAAAUUCCAAUCGAACCUGGAGAUAGCUGGUUCUCUCCGAAAUAGCUUUAGGGCUAGCCUCAAGUGAUGAUUAUUGGAGGUAGAGCACUGUUUGGACGAGGGGCCCCUCUCGGGUUACCGAAUUCAGACAAACUCCGAAUGCCAAUUAAUUUAACUUGGGAGUCAGAACAUGGGUGAUAAGGUCCGUGUUCGAAAGGGAAACAGCCCAGACCACCAGCUAAGGUCCCAAAAUAUAUGUUAAGUGGAAAAGGAUGUGGCGUUGCCCAGACAACUAGGAUGUUGGCUUAGAAGCAGCCAUCAUUUAAAGAGUGCGUAAUAGCUCACUAGUCGAGUGACACUGCGCCGAAAAUGUACCGGGGCUAAACAUAUUACCGAAGCUGUGGAUUGUCCUUUGGACAAUGGUAGGAGAGCGUUCUAAGGGCGUUGAAGCAUGAUCGUAAGGACAUGUGGAGCGCUUAGAAGUGAGAAUGCCGGUGUGAGUAGCGAAAGACGGGUGAGAAUCCCGUCCACCGAUUGACUAAGGUUUCCAGAGGAAGGCUCGUCCGCUCUGGGUUAGUCGGGUCCUAAGCUGAGGCCGACAGGCGUAGGCGAUGGAUAACAGGUUGAUAUUCCUGUACCACCUAUAAUCGUUUUAAUCGAUGGGGGGACGCAGUAGGAUAGGCGAAGCGUGCGAUUGGAUUGCACGUCUAAGCAGUAAGGCUGAGUAUUAGGCAAAUCCGGUACUCGUUAAGGCUGA
rnacentral:rRNA from 1 species